rnacentral:rRNA from 1 species
UAGGCGACGCCGACCGACGCGGACGCCGGGGCCCCGGAGGGAGGGGACGCGAAAUAUAGAGGAGAGGAGGAGGAAGCCGGAGCGUGGGGAGCGGCGGUUACGGUGACGGUGACGGUGAACAACUGACUAAGUGGGGGUGCGGUAAAGCGUGUGGUCUCUGACCAUCUCCUGGUCUCAAGGUACCUCCUCCCCUACGCCCACCGCCACCACCCGCGGCCGCACUCGCCGGACCGCCGCCGCGUGCUCGACCGGUCCCGGCCGCCCCGCCGCGCGCACUGCCACAUGCUCCGCCUCCUCUCGGAGCCGCCGGUGCGGUCCUGGCGGCUGCAGCUGCCGCAGGUCGAGCUGGAGCCGAAGUACCAGAAGUUGGCCCACUGUAUGGGUUUGUACGACCUUACCAAACUUCUCGAGCCCCAUCUCUACCUCUAUAGUCUGUACAGCGACAGUCACUCGUGUGUCGAGAGGCCACCGCCGUCCACGCUCACCCCGUCGGCCUUGCCGGAGAGCCCGGAGGAUCGCGUCUUCUCGUUACGGGAGGCGGGACGGAAGACCGUGUACUAGGCGCUCUAUGAGUUCAAGUUCCUCCUACGGGAGUUCAUGGACCUCCUGGUACUCUCGUUGGGACUGGACUUGGCCGUGCUCUGAGACCCCGUCAAGUAGGUCUGCGUACCUAUGAGGGUCGAGAAGGUCCUCCGAAUGGACUAGGGUUAGACACGUUCGUAUACCAGUACGGGCAGCGUCCCCCACGAGCCGAAGAGACGAAAGAAGCAAGAGAGGAAGACGGCGUUGGUAGUGGAGGAAGUCUAGAAGCCAGCCGGGGUUACCGAGUGGCAGUUUCCAGCGAGCGUAUGUAUACAUUUGUUCCAUUCCCUUCUUGACCUUUCGUACCCAACAGUCUAAUUCUGGUCGACGGUUCAGUUUAGACAAAGUUCGCAACUUCCUCCUAUGUUUCAGAACCUCCAGCCACCGAGCCUCCUCCACAUGCUGUUCUAGUAUAAACCACGAGUACGUGGACUACAAGACUCUUACGAUCCUCUACUUCGUUGUGUGCUCCUCAACUCUUAAGACCCACGAAAGGUUAUACAGGUGUCACUGUAUAUGGAGGUAGCGCUGCUGUGAAACUACGGUGUCUUGGGCAGUCGUACCUCGCGGACCUUGAAGAACCCCUGUUGUUCGUCGCCGCAGAGACAAUGGAUGACCGAUUUAGAGGAGGUCUUGUAGCUUAGAUGGCCGUUCGGAAAGGACCACUGUGACUUAGGUGGAGUACAGGGCCUAGUACAGCACGAGUUUACCUUGUGGCCGGUAGGACAAGGCAGACAGCGCCGACGUUUCCGAAGCAACCUCGAAGUCGUCUAGGUUCCUUUGUCCCCUUAUACCAAGACACCCCGUAUAGUUCCAAUACCGAAGGUACUUCUACCGGAAUUCCGACCCUUCAGACGCCGAGUUUCAAACGAACCCGUCUUCUCGUCGGAAGAAGACUUGGGUUUUGUCUACCACGGCAGUACCUGCCUUUGACCCCGAGCGGAAGACCAUUGUUCCAAAGAGUUGGUUAUACAGUGGUAGCCAUUGUACUGGUAAGAACUUCUUCCACCGUGAUACAAGUCAAAGCCACUUCAGCUGUUUUUUACAGAACAGUUUUGACAGAACGCUCAAGUACUGGGUGAGAAGAUGACCUUCCAGCGUUGGCUUCGCCUAGAACCAUACCGACUACGUAUAUAAUUACCAAUAAAAAGAAAACAACUAUUUUCUCUUCCCGAGGACUUAGAAAAGGACUAAGAGUAACGUUUGUCCCUACGAGUCUUCUCAUCAUCAUCACGACGGUCAUUUUCCCCAACCACCUGUGGGUACGAAAACUGUCGACCCUAUCGUAGACGUUUUAUAAAAGACGCGGUGUAGAGUUCCUUCUUAUGACAGUGUGUUUGAGCGGCUUUGUAGAGAGUCGUGAUACUAGACUCAUUACUAAAGAAGAGCUAAAAGGACCUAGGUAGCUACUGAAUGAGAACACGUCAUAAGUUCCACCUUCUACUUUCGAACCUUCAUCGGGUCGUUGCGUUUCAAUUGGAGGAUUAGUUCUUCCGAUUUCACCUCGCCUUAGUAGUACAAGAACUUUAGCCAUCGCCAACCCCGUCGAACCGCUACCUUCACCACUUCGUUUGCCCUACGUUUAUGUGUCCCUAAUGUAACAGACUCCUCGUUGAAUUUAUACGAGUUUACUUUCAUUUCCUUCGACCAAACCUCCUAGCGUAUUGAAAGGACGACACACUGAUGGCAGUUUAUGGUUCAGCCACAUUCAUGCUGUCCUAGUAUAGUACGCUCUACUAACUUCCCCAACCAGUACUUAAGUACCUGCUAAAGAAACCGACAACACUCAGAGAUAACCGAGGUCUACCGGAUAAACAGGAGGUCAAGUAUAGCUAAGGUCUUCUUGCCAUACUCCUUAUGUCCUCUUCAAGUCUGAAGUAUUUUCUUAUGUAGAAAGGUCCCCCAACGGAAGGAAGGAACCGGGCCUAGUGCAGACGGUACAGGUGGCGCAGGUCCGAGACGUAGCUCGUCCAACUCUUGUAGCCCAUGGUAAUGAUGGGCUGCGACUAUGCGACCUCCCUAUUGAAGUACCGGUUGUUUCUACGCUAAAACCGAGAACCUAAACUGCUGUUCAAAUAGGCACAUACCCUCAUGAUAAAGUAUAUGACACGACGGCCAAAGUUCAGUGCCUGCGAACCUUGAAUGGUCUAACACAAAAGAGCUGGACCGUUGCUGUUCGACCGGAUGCGGCUGUUGGGGAUACGUUCAGAAGGCCGUCGGAUCGUUCGAGUGACUUGUUCACGUGCUGGUAAGUUUGAGUAUGGAUAUGUAUCAUCCAACGUAAAUUAAUAGGUAUUUAAUUCCAGCUCUUUAACAUUAAAGGUAUCCUCACACACUUCACAGCUAAUAUCACGAUGGUGUCCCACUAAGUAACUAACCAAGUACAUUCCGCACCAAGUGGUACCCACUUGUAUAUAUGGUACUCUGUAAACAGGCGGACGACCGGGUUCCCGCACCAAAAGAAGGAGGAGAGUCGUAAAAGGAAGGUUCGGCGCAUCGGUAGAGGAAUAGUCGGCCGUGAGUAGUGGGCGAAUGACGCACCGAAAACAGAGAACUCCUUUUUAGACUACUACAAACGAACUAAAAAUAUGAACCUUCUUUUAAACUCGGAAGCCAUAUUCUUCUUGCGGUUCGAUGGAUCGGCUAGAUCCCGGUCGUUCCAAUCCCGAGAGCCGCAUGCACGCGAUACUACUAUAAACCACCGUCCGUAAAGUCUAGCUAAUUUCCCAAGUUGUCGCUACUACCGCCAAGAUCCUGCAACUAGGAAUCCCCGUGCACGUGUUUCUUAAGAGUCGACAGUAGGUGUUCCAGUCCGGCCGAAGCCAUACCGUCGCCACUGUCACCGCACAGCUGCCGAGCAAGACCACCACCAUGAUCAGCAAGCCACCAGUUCCCUGGAGUUAUAUUAAAGAUAAUACAAAUCCCAGGAAACAUAACGGCCACUUGAAAAUAUUAUCAGGUGUGAGGUCUGUUGAAAAG